rnacentral:rRNA from 1 species
AGUUCAGAUUGCAGGCUGCAACUCGCCUGCAUGAAGUUGGAAUUGCUAGUAAUCGCGAAUCAGAAUGUCGCGGUGAAUACGUUCCCGGGCCUUGUACACACCGCCCGUCACACCAUGAGAGUCGGGAACACCCGAAGUCCGUAGCCUAACCGCAAGGGGGGCGCGGCCGAAGGUGGGUUCGAUAAUUGGGGUGAAGUCGUAACAAGGUAUC